GCCAGCCAGCAGACCGAGGAGGUCGAGGGCAUGCAAGGUGCCUGAUUCCUGAGGAGAGAACAGACAACCAAAAAGAUGGAACCAAAACACAUAAGAAGCUCCGGCGUCUCACCAGGAUUGUGAUUUCCUGACUCGAGUUGCAGUGCCUCUCCUUCGAAGGUGGACAAAGUCAGGCAGUUGGUCUCUGCUGAUCAGAUCGGUCCCGUUUAAGUUCAGAUGCUGGUCUUCGCUUAACACGACAGCGGUGGCUACAACACAACAGCAGAGGGAUGAAAUUUUCUAUUAUCAAAUUCCUGGAACCACAAAUAACAGACAUUAUUGGCAUAUAGUUCAUUACCACCUUUCUUGACACAGUGAUCAAUGUUGGAUGUUUUCCAUACAGACUCAAAGUCUAAUGCCAAUGAUGAUUCAGAUGGGACUUACAAUUCACUUGUGUUUGUGCAUGUGUGUUUAAGUGUGAGUGUGUAUGUGAGUGUGUAUGAGUAUUAUCAUCAUGCUAGAGGUUGUACAUGUACAAUUAUAUGUCUUCUUGUGACAAAGCUAAAUUCUAGUCUUUAUUUAAUGCCAGAACAUGAUUCUAAUAUGUCUAAAGUGAUUAUUUUACUUGUGAUGUUUGUAACUAUGCACAUACUGUAUAUGUGUUUGUGAAUUUGUCUGUGCAUUGCAUUUUGAAAUUAUAUGUGCAUGCACAUAGUCCCAUAAAAAAGGGGGAAAAAGAAAGAGUGCAUUGGAUGACAAAUAGUAAA